rnacentral:rRNA from 1 species
UACGUAGGGUGCGAGCGUUGUCCGGAAUUAUUGGGCGUAAAGAGCUCGUAGGCGGUCUGUCGCGUCUGCUGUGAAAACCCGAGGCUCAACCUCGGGCCUGCAGUGGGUACGGGCAGGCUAGAGUGCGGUAGGGGGAGAAUGGAACUCCUGGUGUAGCGGUGGAAUGCGCAGAUAUCAGGAGGAACACCGGUGGCGAAGGCGGGUCUCUGGGCCGAUACUGACGCUGAGGAGCGAAAGCGUGGGGAGCGAACAGG